AAGUCGAGCGAUGAAACUUUAACAGAACCCUUCGGGGCGAAGAUAAAGUGGAUUAGCGGCGGACGGGUGAGUAACACGUGAGUAACCUGCCUUAGACAUUGGGAUAGCCUCGGGAAACCGGGAUUAAUACCAAAUAAAAUCAUAAUGACACAUGUCAUAACGAUCAAAACUCCGGCGGUCUAAGAUGGACUCGCGUCCCAUUAGCUAGUUGGUAGAGUAAAAGCCUACCAAGGCGACGAUGGGUAGCCGGCCUGAGAGGGUGAACGGCCACAUUGGAACUGAGAAACGGUCCAAACUCCUACGGGAGGCAGCAGUGGGGAAUAUUGCACAAUGGAGGGAACUCUGAUGCAGCGACGCCGCGUGAACGAAGAAGGCUUUCGAGUCGUAAAGUUCUUUUAUAUGGGAAGAUAAUGACGGUACCAUAAGAAAAAGCCCCGGCUAACUACGUGCCAGCAGCCGCGGUAAUACGUAGGGGGCUAGCGUUGUCCGGAAUCACUGGGCGUAAAGGGUUCGCAGGCGGAAAUGCAAGUCAGAUGUAAAAGGCAGUAGCUUAACUACUGUAAGCAUUUGAAACUGCAUAUCUUGAGAAGAGUAGAGGUAAGUGGAAUUUUUAGUGUAGCGGUGAAAUGCGUAGAUAUUAAAAAGAAUACCGGUGGCGAAGGCGACUUACUGGGCUCAUUCUGACGCUGAGGAACGAAAGCGUGGGUAG
rnacentral:rRNA from 2 species